AUUUUGACAAGGUUAAGUGUAUUAGACGAAAUUUACAUUUAAAAUUCCGCGGAAAAAAGUUGUCGAGACGACAUUCCGAACCCAUAAUUCUAUAAGUAGUGAGUUCUUGCCAUUCAUUUUCUCCACACCUUCCCUUCUUCAUUUCUUCAAAAACCUCUCUAGUUUCAUAACUUUCGUCUCAACAUGUCUUCUUCCCAAGGUGAUAAGAAGGAUUCCGACGUCGAGAUGGGUGAGGCCACUUCUCUGGCUCCG
rnacentral:lncRNA from 1 species